rnacentral:rRNA from 1 species
UACAGAGACUGCAAGCGUUAUUCGGAUUCACUGGGCGUAAAGGGUGCGUAGGUGGUCGUUUAAGUCCGUUGUGAAAUCCCUGGGCUCAACCUGGGAAUGGCAGUGGAUACUGGACGGCUAGAAUGCGGUAGAGGGUAGUGGAAUUCCCGGUGUAGUGGUGAUAUGCGUAGAUAUCGGGAGGAACACCUGUGGCGAAGGCGGCUUUCUGGGCCAUACCUGACGCUGAGACGCGAAAGCGUGGGGAGCGAACCGG